rnacentral:rRNA from 1 species
CCUGAACGCUGGCGGCGUGGCUAAGACAUGCAAGUCGCACGGGGUAGCAAUACCCAGUGGCGAACGGGAGAGUAAUGAAUCGCUAACGUACCCCGGACUCUGGGAUAGCUAUCCGAGAGGGUAGGUAAUACCAGAUUAAAUAACUUACAGGCAUCUGUGAGUUCUCAAAGGUCCGCCGGUCUGGGAGCGGGCGAUUUCGUAUCAGCUAGUUGGUGAGGUAACGGCUCACCAAGGCGACGACGCGUAGCCGGACUGAGAGGUUGGCCGGCCUCAUUGGGGACUGAGACACUGCCCAGACUCCGUACGGGGGGCUGCAGUAACGAAUCUUCCGCAAUGCACGAAAGUGUGACGGAGCGACGCCGCGUGUGGGACGAAGCCCUU